AAUAGAUACCCGGGUAGUCCACGCCGUAAACGAUGAGUGCUAAGUGUUAGAGGGUUUCCGCCCUUUAGUGCUGCAGCAAACGCAUUAAGCACUCCGCCUGGGGAGUACGGUCGCAAGACUGAAACUCAAAGGAAUUGACGGGGGCCCGCACAAGCGGUGGAGCAUGUGGUUUAAUUCGAAGCAACGCGAAGAACCUUACCAGGUCUUGACAUCCCGUGACAACUCUAGAGAUAGAGCUUUCCCCUUCGGGGGACACGGUGACAGGUGGUGCAUGGUUGUCGUCAGCUCGUGUCGUGAGAUGUUGGGUUAAGUCCCGCAACGAGCGCAACCCUUGAUCUUAGUUGCCAGCAUUCAGUUGGGCACUCUAAGGUGACUGCCGGUGACAAACCGGAGGAAGGUGGGGAUGACGUCAAAUCAUCAUGCCCCUUAUGACCUGGGCUACACACGUGCUACAAUGGAUUGUACAAAGGGCAGCGAAACCGCGAGGUUAAGCCAAUCCCAUAAAACCAUUCUCAGUUCGGAUUGCAGG
rnacentral:rRNA from 1 species